ACAUGCAAGUCGAGGGGCAGCGGGAUUGAAGCUUGCUUCAAUUGCCGGCGACCGGCGCACGGGUGAGUAACGCGUAUCCAACCUUCCGUACACUCAGGGAUAGCCUUUCGAAAGAAAGAUUAAUACCUGAUGGUAUGAUGAGAUUGCAUGAUAGCAUCAUUAAAGAUUCAUCGGUGUACGAUGGGGAUGCGUUCCAUUAGGUAGUAGGCGGGGUAACGGCCCACCUAGCCUACGAUGGAUAGGGGUUCUGAGAGGAAGGUCCCCCACAUUGGAACUGAGACACGGUCCAAACUCCUACGGGAGGCAGCAGUGAGGAAUAUUGGUCAAUGGACGAGAGUCUGAACCAGCCAAGUAGCGUGAAGGAUGAAGGUCCUACGGAUUGUAAACUUCUUUUAUAAGGGAAUAAAACCUCCCACGUGUGGGAGCUUGUAUGUACCUUAUGAAUAAGCAUCGGCUAACUCCGUGCCAGCAGCCGCGGUAAUACGGAGGAUGCGAGCGUUAUCCGGAUUUAUUGGGUUUAAAGGGAGCGCAGACGGGUCGUUAAGUCAGCUGUGAAAGUUUGGGGCUCAACCUUAAAAUUGCAGUUGAUACUGGCGUCCUUGAGUGCGGUUGAGGUGUGCGGAAUUCGUGGUGUAGCGGUGAAAUGCUUAGAUAUCACGAAGAACUCCGAUUGCGAAGGCAGCACACUAAGCCGUAACUGACGUUCAUGCCCGAAAGUGUGGGUAUCAAACAGGAUUAGAUACCCUGGUAGUCCACACGGUAAACGAUGGAUACUCGCUGUUGGCGAUAUACUGUCAGCGGCUUAGCGAAAGCGUUAAGUAUCCCACCUGGGGAGUACGCCGGCAACGGUGAAACUCAAAGGAAUUGACGGGGGCCCGCACAAGCGGAGGAACAUGUGGUUUAAUUCGAUGAUACGCGAGGAACCUUACCCGGGCUUAA
rnacentral:rRNA from 1 species